rnacentral:lncRNA from 1 species
CUUAAUCAAAAGGCAUUAAAUAAAUACCUAAAUUUUAUUAUUUUGCCUAAGGUUUAAAAAUUUAAUGCAUAAAGGAAAAUAAAACAAUCCUAACAAAAUUAGUUUCACUAUUUUUGGACAUUUCUAGAAUUUCCCGUGAAUUAAAUGGUGAAAACCGGAUUUAAACUAUUUAUCUACAAAAGGGAAAACUUAUGAUUAUCCAAACCCCUGGAAAAACCUUUUACACUCGCCCCGUAUCUACCCCUGCGACUGACCUACGGGUCCCAAGGCUCGGGCCCUCCCC